AUUUCCUGAAACCCUAGCUUGAAAGAGUUAAAAGCAAGCUUCUUUUGGUUUUGCUGUAGAUUUCUCAGAGGAUGCGCUGAGGGAGAGAUUCAGGAGGCGUUGUGUUUUAAAGACGAAGAUCUGAAAUUUUGUUCAGUUUCUCCUUCGUUUUUCUUCGGUUUCUUCAUAUGUGGGAAGAUUUGAUUAAGAAGGCAAAAGAUGGACGAAUCGACGUGAUUCAGGGUGGAUUUGAUACUGCUCGAUGACAGUUUCUGUUGUGGUGUUGUUGCAAGGAAAGAUGCUACAUAAUCUCUCAUUCUGGCUGAUCGUUAUUCUGCCUUAAGGAUCCUGCAGCUGCUUGUUAUCUCGAUCAAGGCCUGCUUUUUUUAUUGAUAAUUUUGAUUCUUUCAUUACACUGUAUUGAAAUCAUAUGAGUAAAAUUCGUUGACACAACCUUUGUA